AAUGCUCAGUUUUAAAAUGCAGCAAAAUCUUAAAACGCAAUCCAUCAUCUGGAGCUAAAUUUAUGCCUUUGUGCUCCCUUAACAGUUUUAGAAUUCAGAUGCCAAGCAGAGAUCUUUACCAAUUAGGGUAACAAGCUGAUCAGCCAGGAGGUUAUUUGGGAACUCCACGGAGAAGCCCAUGAGGUUUUUUUGUGAUUCAUGAUGAUGACAGAGAAGCGCAGGUUCCACUUUAGUUUUUUACUUUCUGCCCAGUGCCAUCUUUCCUCAGCUGACUCAUUUUGCACCUUUCCUUGUCCCAGUUGCUGUCUUCUCUCUCUGCAGACCUUUGGUCCUCAUUGAAGGUUUCCAUUCCUUUGCUCUGCAAUUUGAGCUGCUCCCCCUCAUCCCUUUGCUUCCUCAUCCUCUCCCAAGCUCCUUUCCCAUGUCAGCUGGAGUUCUCCUCCUCCUCCCCCUCGCUGAAGCACCAGGAUGGGAGCAACCAGAGUGCACCAGAAAUCACUUCCACCUCCUCUGCUCGGUGCUGCAGCAUCCUCAGCUUGUUGGAAGAUGUCAGGGCAGGGAUGUCCUGCUCACCCCCAUCAGCUGUGACUGUCUGAAAUCUGUUUCAGAGCCAGAAAUACAGAUUGAAUCUCAGGACUUCUACACCUUUGGUUCAGCAGCAAGACCAUCUGUCACUUCUAAUUCCUGCUAUGAAAAAGAUGAUCUAGUUAUCUUUGAUGGAAUAGUUCUGAAUUUGCAAGCUAGAGUCUUCUCCUUUUCCUCAAUUAGAUUUUCCUCCCCUCCUACAUGCUGGAAUCUCUAUUUGAAGGUUCAGCCUUGGAUAAAGCUAAACCCCAAAAGAAUGAUGUCUUUUUAAUCACUGGCUCCCCACUGCAGAUGAUAUCAACCUGCAAAACAUGCUAGCUGCUCUCACCAAAGCAAUCUUGACUUGCUUCCAAAGGGGAGAGAAAACAGGUGAAUUCCUUGUCACUUUAGAUUGCACUAAGGAUGUGCAGAAAUUUUGCUCCAUUUUAAGUUUGAUAUAUGUUUUGGAAGGUAGAGGGUUUAUAAGGAAGGGCUGGAUAUUUUUUCAGGCAUGUCUACAUCUUCACCAUCUGCAUAUCAUUCCAAGGUUACUUUUAAAUCUUCUAGAUUUUCACUCAGCUUUGUUUGACUCUCAAAGACAAAGCACUCUUUCUCAUAGGACCAUUAAAUCAUAACACGAUUCUCUUCCACAAUGAAGAAAAAAUCCAUUUUUUUUUCUUUGGAGGAAACCAUCAUCAUCUUCAUCUGUAUAAAGAGAUGCUUCCUGAGUCAUAAUGCAUUCAGUCUUUCACACAUGUGUUUUCUUGGUGCAAACUACAGAUAAAAAGCACAUGAUAUAAUUAAAUGCUUUUGUACUGUAGGUGAGGGAUUGUCUCAGGCUGUUCCAUCCAGCUAUUGUUUUUUCCCACCCAUAUACACAUAAACACAUUCUUGAAGCUCAAACUCAGCUGUGUUUCUAUAGGCAUGUCUCAGGGCAUGUCUCUGCUGUUAAAUUUUAAUGAAAAUAAGAUUGAAAUUUUAGGGAUUAAUGACCACUUGGCAAAAAUUCAGCUGAUAUCUACUUGAGCUGCACCACUUCUUCCAACCUCCCUUCUCCAAUGAAUAACUGAAAAGGACCGAGGAACAGAGAGCUGUUUCUAGGAUACAAUGUGCAGCACUUCCUACUUUUGGCUCACUCUAACUUCAGCCUCUCAGCUCUGUCAUUUUUUUUCUGUCUAUGAAUUUAAAAUAGCUUUUGCCACCAGAUAGUGAAGUGGAAGCAAUAGCAUUUGUCCCAGCUGUGAGUGGGAUCACCUUGCUACCGUGGUAAAAUCGAAGGGGCUGAUCUCCACAUGGAUUUUACAUUAAGCCAUCCAGACCAGACUUCAGCUGCUGAAUCUGCUUCAUUUCUGGGUGUGAAAACAUGUGCAGAUUAAAUCCAAAGCUCUUCAGGAGAAAGCUGAAAUGUCCUGAGUCAUCCAGUGAGAGUUAACAGUAGUCUCUUUUCAGAGACAUAUUACCUCUGGCUCUGAGCUUCAAAACUACAGCUCCUUUCAACUACAAUGUCUCAGCUGAGAGGGUUCAGAGCUGUGAUCUUGUCAAUAGAGGACAGGAUGGAAGAAAUUGCCCUUUGGCAGAGUUGGGCAAAUCCUGGAAAAUGGACUUCUUCCUAUUCUGUGGAAAGAGCAUUUUUAAGGGAUUAAAUAUUCUUCAUUUUCCACUUGGCAUAUGAAAUUUGAACCCGCAAGAUUUGUAUUUUUCUUCAUACUCAUGCAUGGGAGGGCCAUGCUCUGUGUA